ACCUAAGCUCCUGGAAGCCAUGGACCAUCGCAAAAAAGGAGGCAGUCACUUUCAUAUUUCCCACGCAUGAGUUGUGUCAGCCAGUAAAGGAGAGUACAGUGGAAGAAGGCCUUGAGACCUGAGUCAGCAGUGGAUAUCAGCAGAACGGAACAACCAACAACCCAUGGAAGAGUGGGAAGAAUCAAAAUACCAGACUGUGGAGGGGGUCCCUCUGAUGCACAGAGUCAGCCUCAAGGAGAUGAUGGGAUAUAUCAGGAGACCUAAGAUAAGAUGAAUUUGGUCUGUCUGGAAGCUGGUAGGACCAAAUUCGCUGAGUCAGCAGAGAGGAGGUGCCCAAAGGAGCAAGAUCUCUGCAGCAGAAAUCUGCAGGACUAACAAAGCCACAACAACAGCCCCAUCUCUCUAUCCCUUGGUCCCUGGCUGUGGUGACACAUCUGGAUCCUCGGUGACACUGGGAUGCCUUGUCAAAGGCUACUUCCCUGAGCCGGUAACUGUAAAAUGGAACUAUGGAGCCCUGUCCAGCGGUGUGCGCACCGUCUCAUCUGUCCUGCAAUCUGGGUUCUAUUCCCUCAGCAGUUUGGUGACUGUACCCUCCAGCACCUGGCCCAGCCAGACUGUCACCUGCAACAUAGCCCACCCGGCCAGCAAGACUGAGUUGAUCAAGAGAAUCGAGCCUAGAAUACCCAAGCCCAGUACCCCCACAGGUUCUUCAUGCCCACCUGGUAACAUCUUGGGUGGACCAUCCGUCUUCAUCUUCCCCCCAAAGCCCAAGGAUGCACUCAUGAUCUCCCUGACCCCCAAGGUCACGUGUGUGGUGGUGGAUGUGAGUGAGGAUGACCCAGAUGUCCAUGUCAGCUGGUUUGUGGACAACAAGGAAGUACACACAGCCUGGACACAGCCCCGUGAAGCUCAGUACAACAGUACCUUCCAGGUGGUCAGUGCCCUCCCCAUCCAGCACCAGGACUGGAUGAGGGGCAAGGAGUUCAAAUGCAAGGUCAACAACAAAGCCCUCCCAGCCCCCAUCGAGAGAACCAUCUCAAAACCCAAAGGAAGAGCCCAGACACCUCAAGUAUACACCAUACCCCCACCUCGUGAACAAAUGUCCAAGAAGAAGGUUAGUCUGACCUGCCUGGUCACCAACUUCUUCUCUGAAGCCAUCAGUGUGGAGUGGGAAAGGAAUGGAGAACUGGAGCAGGAUUACAAGAACACUCCACCCAUCCUGGACUCAGAUGGGACCUACUUCCUCUACAGCAAGCUCACUGUGGAUACAGACAGUUGGUUGCAAGGAGAAAGUUUUACCUGCUCUGUGGUGCAUGAGGCUCUCCAUAACCACCACACACAGAAGAACCUGUCUCGCUCCCCUGAGCUGGAACUGAAUGAGACCUGUGCUGAGGCCCAGGAUGGGGAGCUGGAUGGGCUCUGGACGACCAUCACCAUCUUCAUCAGCCUCUUCCUGCUCAGCGUGUGCUACAGCGCCUCUGUCACCCUCUUCAAGGUGAAGAGGAUCUUCUCCUCGGUGGUGCAGGUGAAGCAGACGGCCAUCCCUGACUACAGGAACAUGAUUGGGCAAGGUGCCUAGCUUGUCUCUUCAGAAGGUGCCAGAGCUUGCUAGCCCUCUAGGACCAAGUCCAUGCUGCUGAGCAGCCAGACACACAGGUUACACUGCCUUCUCAUCUCAGCAUCCUUUGAUCUUAUGGCUCUGACUCUGCUACCCAGGUCCCUUCCACAUUUGGAGCAGCAUGUGGAAAGCAGGUUUUGCCCCAGACCAUAGCCAACAGGACCCAAGCACCACUACCACAGCCAGAACAGUGGAUAGGGUCAAAACUGCUGUGUUUCUUCUACAUGGUGUCUAGCCCUCAGCCUGGCACUCUCCCAGGAUGGCCUGAAUCACCUGCAUCCAUUUAGAUGCAGAUGAGCCUUAGAGCCAGCCCUGUCUAUACAGUCCUCUGAAAAAUGUGCUUCUCUGAGAGAAGAGGAAGUUUCCAUAUGUCUCUGAGGCUGAGAAGGUCCCAAAGGGAACUCUUUGAGAAGGACUGCCAAAGGUGACUCUAAUGGCCUUCACCCAACCAGUGCCCUGCCAUGUUUUUUCACUUCUUGGAAUGUAACAUGGGGCACCUUGUGAAGACCUCUUUUCCUGCCAUCCAUGCAACAUGAUGAAAUCUCAGAUGCAAGAUCCCAUCAGAGACACUGCUGACCCCACAGCUUGAAGACCAGGGCACUGUUACCUCAGUGGAUAACCUAGAGAGACCCUCAGAGGGCCUGAGCUUCAUAGCCUCUGUUGGGCCCUAGCAGGUGCAGGAGCCACUGAGCAAAGGCUGAGCAACCCAGAAAAGCCCGUAGGAGAAGAACAGACCCCGGUCAGUCCCAAAAGUGGUCCAGGAGCAACAUGGAGAGAGAGAGAAAGGAUGCUCAAAGAGCCAGGCAGGAAUGGGCCUUUCCUGCAGCCUGGCAUCCAGACUGGGCCACUGACAGCAGAGAAUACCAGUUAGAGUAGAUAUCCAAAGAGAGAGCCCAGGCCUGGGGCACCAAGGCUGACUGACUGCUGGCACUGGAGAAGCACUGUGGCUGUUUCUCCAUUUCAUAUCAAGGCAAAUGCCAGGCCAGAGUCCCCAGAAAAGACAAAGGAGAAAUUCAGGAAGGAAAGUUGGGUGCCUGGCUCUUAGGGGACUCUAAGAGAUGUUCACUGACAUGAAGCUUAGCUUUGCCAGCUUUUACUUUAAAUUUUAUAGAGCCCAGCUAUGUCUCUAAUGUCCCUCUUCACCUUUUUAAUAAUAAUAAAACAUCCUUCAACAUUG